rnacentral:snoRNA from 1 species
UUCCUCAGAUGAAGAAUUGAUCGCCUACAUGCUCCAAGGUCUUGGUUCAUAGUAUGAUUCUCUGGUCAUGAGCAUCAUGAUGCGCAUCGACAUCUACACCAUCAGCGAUGUGUAUGCACACAUGCUGAGUUCUGAGA